rnacentral:antisense_RNA from 1 species
UUCAAUGGUGUGCUGGAUGGGGCAACCGAAAGGUUGGCCGGUUGGUUUUCCCGGUAUUCUCACCCCCGUUCAGUUCACCACUAGA